GAUCUUAAGUAAGCCCAUUUUGCUUCAAUUUUCUUAUCUAGAAAAUGGGGAUAAUAACACCCAUGUUAUAGAGUUAUUCUGAUGAUUUCUAAGAGUCUCAGAGACCUAGGAUCCACAAAAUCAAAACAACAAAACCAAGCCUUUGUGCACAUCUGUGGUUGUGACCAGUUGGAGAGACAUUAGGAGAUGAGAUACUAUGUUCACUCCUCACAGCUGUACCAGGGACCUGAGAUAUUCCGUCACUAUUCUAUGAGAUUUUGGAGAUCCCACCAGUGGUUUUCCGGUGCCAGGGUAUGAGAAGAUAGUCUCCAUGUCCAAACUCACAAUUUCAGAACAAAUUUCAUCAAGAUAAAGGCCUGGGCUGGUGAAUGGUUCCUGCUUUCACUAUUCCAGAUGUCCAGCUCUGUACCUUGCUGCUCUCCUUAAAGCCUGCCUCCCUCUAGAUGGUCUGGCUUGAUGAUAUCCAACCUGACGUGGCCUGAAGAGACAGACAGUGGCUCUUGCUAGCUAAUUAUUGUCAGAUGGAUCGGCAGCCGACCAACGCUUCUGAAACUAUUGUUUUUGGCAAAUGUUCCUCAACAUUUUCCUGGGAGCUAUGGUGCAUUACUCACGAGUGACAGAACCAACGAGCUUCAUCUCCCAAGAGGCUGGUGCAUCUGUUUAAAGGAGCAGGCACUAGGCAGAGCAGCCCCCACCCCACCCUCCAUGGCAGAGUGCAGUGGGGGAAGAAGUUUUCAUAGAAAUGCUUUCUAUAAAGCAUUUUCAUAGAGAAAGCAGGUUCAUAUAGAAAGCACUGGCUGCUGGUUGGAGUGGAGAGAUUGAAGACCCUCAUCUAGGAUCAAGCAACCCCCAGAAAACAAUUUUAAACAUGUCCAUUCAGACAAAAGGAGUCCAAAACCAUAAGAUCCUCUCAGCAUCCUGAACUAAUGUCCAGCUGUUAUCUCGGGAUGGGAUUUCACCAUGUUGUCCAAGCUGGUUUUGAACUCCUGGGGUCAAGAAAUCCACCUGCUUCGGCCUCCCACAGUGCUGGGAUUACAGAUGGGGAAACUGAGGCACAGAGAGGUUAGAGAUAUGCCUGAAGCCACACAGCUUGCAAGUGGUGGAUCUGGGAUUUGAACUUGUCGAUCUGGCUGCAGAGCUGAGCUCUUGGAGACUAGGUUUUACUGCCUAGUAGCAUGUAAGCCUGGAACUGCCGGCAGUCAUUUUGUAAGUUUGCCGAGUGAACCUCAAUGAGCAUGAAGCAGAGAGGAAAGCAGUACUAAGAGAUGCAAAAGAGUCUGUGUUCCAGCAAUGGGAUCUGAAGUCCUGGAUCAAACCUUACCUGGAGACAAGAUUUACCCAUCAGACAUGCCAGUUAUAAGACCCAAAUUUACCCUUUUUGGGGGAUUGAGUUUGAAUGAGUAUUUUUGUUUGUUUGUUUUGGCAUCAGAAAGACUCCUGAUUAAUACACAGUGUGACGCUGA
rnacentral:lncRNA from 1 species